UCUGGGCCAGGCUUCCAGAACCUUUAAUUCAGAAUCAGAAUAAAUUUAUAGAAAUCUAAACUACUCCAUCGAUUUUCUUUAAACUUUUUGUGUAAACUUACAGUAAUUUAUCUCGGCGGAUAGGACAACCACAACAUCAAUUCGAUUGUCUGUUUGUUUUGUUUUUGUUUGAUUUACCAGUUACCGAAUGUCGUCAUCAUGUGAACAUGGCAAAAGACUAUACUAUGGAUUACCUUAUUUAUGAUUGUCAUUGUAAUGGUUUUGCAUAGCUAAAUGCUUCAUGAAGGGUAAAUCAGCGCGAUAUCAUUUGGAAAAUGACCAUCAAAUGGAUUUCUUGAUUUUCAUGGUAGUGCACUAAACCAUUUCUGUUAGUCACGCACUGAUAUCAAUAUACCAUACGAUGAGUAGACAUCAUGCAUGGCUGAUGAUUAGACAUUAGACAUGGAUAUGUAUCGUCCUCACCUAAAUUUGGAUGUGCAAAUGUCUGUUUCAGAAAGAAAGUUAAGGACAGGAGAAGAUGAACACAUUAGCUCAGGCAUACCAGUGAUUUAUAUCUUCGUUGAUUGUAUCUGUUAGAAAAAUGGAAAUGUAUUUAACAUUGGAUUUUUACUGAAUAGUUGUAUGUGUAAUAUUUUUCAAAUGCAAUCAUUGAUGUCAUAAAAUCUUCGAGAGCUGUGCCGUAUCACGACAAAUUGUUUACCGUAAAUCAUACUUUUGAAGACAUUCUUGUAAUCAUUGUUAAUUUUUUUCAUUUUCUAAUGGUAGACCUUUGCUAAUAUACCACCGUUUUAACUCUU